UACAGAGGGUGCAAGCGUUAAUCGGAAUGACUGGGCGUAAAGGGCACGUAGGCGGAUAGAUGUGUCAUAGGUGAAAUCCCCGGGCUUAACCUGGGAACUGCCUGUGAAACUGUGUAUCUAGAAUAGAGUAGAGGUAAGUGGAAUUUCCGGUGUAGCGGUGAAAUGCGUAGAUAUCGGAAAGAACACCAGUGGCGAAGGCGACUUACUGGACUCAUAUUGACGCUGAGGUGCGAAAGCGUGGGGAGCAAACAGG
rnacentral:rRNA from 1 species